CCUACGGGUGGCAGCAGUGGGGAAUAUUGCACAAUGGGGGAAACCCUGAUGCAGCGACGCCGCGUGAGUGAAGAAGUAUUUCGGUAUGUAAAGCUCUAUUAGCAGGGAAGAAAAAGACGGUACCUGCUUAAGAAGCCCCGGCUAACUACGUGCCAGCAGCCGCGGUAAUACGUAGGGGGCAAGCGUUAUCCGUAUUUACUGGGUGGAAAGGGAGCGUAGACGGCAGCACAAGUCUGGAGGGAAAUGCCGGGGCUUAACCCCGGAACUGCUUUGGAAAAUGUGCAGCUAGAGUGCAGGAGAGGUAGGUGGAAUUCCUAGUGUAGCGGUGAAAUGCGUAGAUAUUAGGAGGAACACCAGUGGCGAAGGCGGCUUACUGGACUGUAACUGACGUUGAGGCUCGAAAGCGUGGGGAGCAAACAGGAUUAGAUACCCUAGUAGUC
rnacentral:rRNA from 1 species